rnacentral:misc_RNA from 1 species
GUUUAGAGGGAGAAAUUUCCUCUCAAUUUGUUUCUCACUUUUUUUCAUCCCUCGGAGUCGCUGAUUUCCCCUCCUCUGUUGGCUUCCUCUGCUCGAAAGGGCAGUUUGUUCUCCACAGUCUGAUUGAGGGUUAGCCCUCCCCCAACUAGCUUUGGUGUAUAUGGUUUUGUCGUGUGUUUUCUCUAUAGGUCAGGUGUAAAUUGUGAGGGCAGAUGUGAGAACUGAGUUGUGUUUUUUGGUUGUAUUGAGCAAAUUCAACUGUCAAUGGUGGUUGCUAUCUCCUUGGAGGGUCUUUGGCAUAGGCGAUUGUGGGUACCUUGGGGUCUUUAAUCCUGUCUUCCAUGAUGGCUGUCAACCCUCCCAGCUAUAAGAGAUUGGGAUAUUGAGAGCUCUACCCAUCAUCCCCUCCCUAGAGAUCACUGUUGAAGGCUGUGCUUAGCGGCUUCUUGAGGCCCAGUAGCUAGCUGGUUUUGAAGAUCUAGAUUGUAAUCUGGAAGUUUGUGGG